GCUAUUUGCGCCUAGAUCCAGUCCUUUAGUCAGCUGAGAAAUACGGCACCCUGGCCUUGGAGCGGAGAAACUACAUUACCCACAAGGCCAAGCAUGGAAUGUCACCAGGCUGAGCCAAUGGGGGCUCAGAGAAGGCAUUUCCGUUCGGCCGCUUCUGUAGGGCGGGACCGGUAGUCCUCUUGGCGGCUUUUGAUUUUUCAAGUUCUUGUCUCAGGCGGUCGGGAGUUCUUGGGCUCAGAGUCUCGUGGAGAAGGCCGGAGGGUGGUGCUCCCGCCUCACAGCCAAUGGUGGGAGCCUCCAGUGGUGUCACAGCUCACACUUCGGAUUGAAACUCCGAGUCGGCACCCGAACCCACGCCAGGGCCGGGACGGGGCCGCCAUUCCUGCAGCGGCUUCUACUCCCGCCCGUCUCAGCCCACAGAGGGCAAUGGCGGCGCCCCCGCUGAGGAGACGGGCUGAGGUUGCUGCUGUGGAGCAGAGAAUGUGGAGGCAACGACUGAACAGAAGGAUUCUGUAAGAGUGUCACAGGCAAGGAAUCCCAAAGUAGCCUUGUCUUCCCAGAAGAGCCACCCCUGUGAGAGUUGUGGGCUAGUCUUGGGAAACAUUUUCCACGUGAUGGAGCUGCAGGGAACACAACACGGACAGAUACUGUUGAGGUGUGGGGCGUGUGCAAAACAAUUUUAUUUCCGUGCAAAAUUUCACCAGCAGCAUGUGAAAGAGAAGUCUUACACUAGAGAUGUGGACAGGAUCUCACUUGCAAACAACUGCAAUUUCAAUGUGUCCCAGAAUUGUUUCACAUGCAGGGAGGUUGGGCAGGAUGUCCUCACGGAGUCAGGACAUCUCCACCUAAAGGGUACUCAGACCAGGGACAGCCCAACUGCAGUUUCGACGUGUGGGAUUUCGUUUCAAAGGAGAAAAAAUUAUUACAAUAGAAAAGAAUGUAAGAGAGACAUUAGUUGCACCCACACGUUUAUUCAGGAAAAAGGUGUCCAUCUUGGAAGUGGGUGUUGUGUGGGCUCUGAAUGUGGAAUAUAUUUCACCAAA